GCGCCCCGCGGCACGUGCGCCCCCGCCCAGCCCGGCGGAGCGCGAGCCGGUGGAGCUCCCGGGCUCGGAGCGCGCGGGGCGGGCGCGCGCGGGCGGGGCGGGGCGCGGGGCGGGGCGCGGGCGGGGCUCUUUUCGGGGGCGGGGCGGGGCGGCGAACUGAUUGGCCGGCGCCGCGUUCCGAGACCGUUAACGGCGGCGCGGCCGGACCGCGGCUCCAAAACAAAGGGCAGGCGGCCCGCGGGGCGGCGGCGGGAGGAUGCCUCGCGCCCUGCGGAGGCGCCAACGGCCGCAGCGCGUCCCGGGCCGCGCCGGCGCCGCCUGAGAGCCGAGCCCGCGCUGACCGGGGCCCGGGCCGGAUGGGCGCUGCGGGCCGGGGCGCGGACCGCCGAGCGGCCGUUGUGACGUUUUUCUCUCGGCCCAGCUGUGUGGACCGUGCCACACGCCCUCCGAACAACAACGGCUCUUGCGUGCAUAUUUCAGUGUUUCUUUUGUCAGAGAAUCCAGCAGAGCCGCAAUUCGUCCAGGGCCAGCCCUGAGCUGAGCGAGGAGUGCCCAGCCGAGAUGGUGAAGAUGACAAAAUCCAAAACUUUCCAAGCUUAUCUGCCAAACUGUCACCGAACGUACAGCUGUGUCCACUGCAGAGCCCACCUGGCCAACCACGAUGAGCUGAUCUCCAAGUCUUUUCAGGGAAGUCAGGGACGAGCCUACCUCUUCAAUUCUGUGGUGAACGUGGGCUGCGGCCCCGCGGAGGAGAGGGUCCUUCUCACUGGGCUGCACGCGGUCGCAGACAUCUACUGUGAAAACUGCAAGACCACGCUCGGGUGGAAAUACGAACAUGCCUUUGAGAGCAGUCAGAAAUAUAAAGAAGGAAAAUUUAUUAUUGAGCUUGCCCACAUGAUCAAAGACAAUGGUUGGGAGUAAAGUGAAAACUUUGUUCUCUUCUGAAUACUAUUUUGUGAGAGACUGUAAAUGUAACGGAGACGUAGGAGCAUCCUGGAUGACAGUAUUUCUUGAACUUGAACCUUGCGGGCUGGCCUGUCCCGGCCGAUCCGGUGGUAAGGUGUCCCUCCAGCCUCCGUCCUGUUCACGUACAUGGCUGUUUCUGAAAUGUUUCCGUGACCUUUUUCUAACUUCUCAAGUUCUAGAGAAAGAAUUAACCGACUGAUGACUU
rnacentral:lncRNA from 12 species